UCGUAGGCGCCUCGGCGCGUAC
rnacentral:sRNA from 1 species